rnacentral:rRNA from 1 species
GGAAUAUUGCACAAUGGGGGAAACCCUGACGCAGCGACGCCGCGUGAGCGAAGAAGUAUUUUGGUAUGUAAAGCUCUAUCAGCAGGGAAGAAAAUGACGGUACCUGACAAAGAAGCGCCGGCUAAAUACGUGCCAGCAGCCGCGGUAAUACGUAUGGAGCAAGCGUUAUCCGGAUUUACGGGGUGUAAAGGGAGCGCAGGCGGCUUUGCAAGUCUGAUGUGAAAGGCCGGGGCUCAACCCCGGGACUGCAUUGGAAACUGUAAAGCUAGAGUGCCGGAGAGGUAAGCGGAAUUCCUAGUGUAGCGGUGAAAUGCGUAGAUAUUAGGAGGAACACCAGUGGCGAAGGCGGCUUACUGGACGGCAACUGACGCUGAGGCUCGAAAGCGUGGGGAGCAAACA